UACGUAGGGGGCAAGCGUUGUCCGGAUUUAUUGGGCGUAAAGAGCGUGUAGGCGGCCAGACAGGUCCGUUGUGAAAACUCGAGGCUCAACCUCGAGACGCCGAUGGAAACCGUCUGGCUAGAGUCCGGAAGAGGAGAGUGGAAUUCCGUGGUGUAGCGGUGAAAUGCGCAGAUAUCAGGAAGAACACCCGUGGCUAAGGCGGCUCUCUAGUACGGUACUGACGCUGAGACGCGAAAGCGUGGGGGAGCGAACAGG
rnacentral:rRNA from 1 species